rnacentral:rRNA from 1 species
AGAGUUUGAUCCUGGCUCAGGACGAACGCUGGCGGCGUGCCUAAUACAUGCAAGUCGAGCGGACCGACGGGAGCUUGCUCCCUUAGGUCAGCGGCGGACGGGUGAGUAACACGUGGGUAACCUGCCUGUAAGACUGGGAUAACUCCGGGAAACCGGGGCUAAUACCGGAUGCUUGAUUGAACCGCAUGGUUCAAUCAUAAAAGGUGGCUUUUAGCUACCACUUACAGAUGGACCCGCGGCGCAUUAGCUAGUUGGUGAGGUAACGGCUCACCAAGGCGACGAUGCGUAGCCGACCUGAGAGGGUGAUCGGCCACACUGGGACUGAGACACGGCCCAGACUCCUACGGGAGGCAGCAGUAGGGAAUCUUCCGUAAUGGACGAAAGUCUGACGGAGCAACGCCGCGUGAGUGAUGAAGGUUUUCGGAUCGUAAAACUCUGUUGUUAGGGAAGAACAAGUACCGUUCGAAUAGGGCGGCACCUUGACGGUACCUAACCAGAAAGCCACGGCUAACUACGUGCCAGCAGCC